UGGGGAAUAUUGCACAAUGGGCGCAAGCCUGAUGCAGCCAUGCCGCGUGUAUGAAGAAGGCCUUCGGGUUGUAAAGUACUUUCAGCGAGGAGGAAGGCGGUAAGGUUAAUAACCUUAUCGAUUGACGUUACUCGCAGAAGAAGCACCGGCUAACUCCGUGCCAGCAGCCGCGGUAAUACGGAGGGUGCAAGCGUUAAUCGGAAUUACUGGGCGUAAAGCGCACGCAGGCGGUCUGUCAAGUCGGAUGUGAAAUCCCCGGGCUCAACCUGGGAACUGCAUUCGAAACUGGCAGGCUAGAGUCUUGUAGAGGGGGGUAGAAUUCCAGGUGUAGCGGUGAAAUUCGUAGAGAUCUGGAGGAAUACCGGUGGCGAAGGCGGCCCCCUGGACAAAGACUGACGCUCAGGUGCGAAAGCGUGGGGAGCAAACA
rnacentral:rRNA from 1 species